UCCUACGGGGGGCAGCAGUAGGGAAUAUUGCACAAUGGGCGAAAGCCUGAUGCAGCAACGCCGCGUGCGCGAUGAAGGCCUUCGGGUCGUAAAGCGCUUUUCUGGAGGACGAGCAAGGACGGUACUCCAGGAAUAAGGCUCGGCUAACUACGUGCCAGCAGCCGCGGUAAAACGUAGGAGCCAAGCGUUAUCCGAAUUCACUGGGCGUAAAGCGCGUGCAGGCGGUCUGGUAAGUUGGGUGUGAAAUCUCCUGGCUCAACUGGGAGAGGACGUUCAAUACUGUCAGACUCGAGGGCGGUAGAGGGAGGUGGAAUUCCCGGUGUAGUGGUGAAAUGCGUAGAUAUCGGGAGGAACACCAGUGGCGAAAGCGGCCUCCUGGACCGCACCUGACGCUCAGACGCGAAAGCUAGGGGAGCAAACGGGAUUAGAUACCCCGGUAGA
rnacentral:rRNA from 1 species